rnacentral:misc_RNA from 1 species
AAUUCGAUGGCUCGUUUGUUUAUCUCCGUCCCAUGCCCUCACGGGUGGUGGGUCGGACGCCAGGCAAGCCUCGUGUCCCCGGCACGCCUAGCCCAGCUGCAUGGCUGCCUCGGCGCAUGAGGCUCUUCGCCCGUGCUCUCGGAUUCGGAAUGUUAUGUGCUGCGGGUGGGUGGCUCAUCGGAGGCACUCCAUCCGGUCAAGCGAGGCAUUUUGUCCAACGAGACGAACGACUGCUGCACCCGUCUUUAGGCCCGCGGCCUCACGGCUCGGCAGGGCUCAUG